GAUUUUUAAUGUUGAGUGCCCACAUAUUAGGGCCAUUUCCGCUGCUAGUUAAAAAGUUUAUCCUCUUGUGUUAAAGAUUUCUAUUUUUAUUUCUUUUCUUUUUUUGUUUUAAACUUUUCUGGCCGAGGCAAUUUAGUCAUUUAAUAAAUCGUAAGAAAUCAGGGUGUUUCAGCAUAUAGAGUCUAAUUGGUGGGAGCGAGACGAAAGAACUCACCAGAGAGAAUUCCGCUGUUGAGAAGUGGAAGAUGAGAGCUGGAAAAACAUUUUUUGCCAUUAAGGUUACCCUUGAAGAUGACUUGUUGGAGCAUGUUAGGUACACCACCACACCAAAAGAAGUUUGGGACAAUUUAUCC
rnacentral:lncRNA from 1 species